rnacentral:lncRNA from 1 species
CUUCUAAGAGAGUUUAUCUUAAUGCUGAGGCUAGCUGGGGUUUCAAGUAGAGCAAAGACUAGGGUCACACAGAGUAGCCUUUUCUCAAACAGCUUUUGUGAAGGAGCAGCUGUGGUAUCCUUGCAAGAGGCCUGACCAGAGAGGAGGAACUGGGGGUGAGGGCCGAAUGUGGCUGUUAGCAAGCCUCUUAGUACCUCUGGGUCUCGCUUUCAGCAGGACAGCCUGGGCUCUCUGAUUUCCAUAUCUGAACGUCGAGACUGGUGGGAGAAGGGAUAACUAGUGAGAGAGCUGUAAUUGGUGACUGCCUGCAGGGUGCAUGCCAAGGUGUGGAUUCUUCCCUUUGGCUCCCUCCUGCUCUCUCACUUCCCAGUGGCUGCUGACUGAGCCUGGAUUGUGGACUAGAAAGGGAAGGCUGCCAGGUUCCUCUGUCUAUGGGGAUUCUUCAAGCAAGAAUACUGGAGUGGACUGCCAUGCCCAACAAAAGCUGGCAUCGAGUGGACAGAAAAUGCAGGAUCUUGCAUUGUGGGGCUAGGUGCCAGUGCAGACAAAUGAUCAUCACAUAGGGAACAAGUUGUUCUAUGUACUUCAAGUAACUUCUCUCAUUCCAGUGAAUAAAGCAAAAAAAAAAUCAAGCUAGCACAGAGUGUAUCUAGAGACAAACAACUGAGUGGCAGUGCCAGAAGUAGAAACUGCACAAUGAAGCAAUGACAAUGUCAAAAAAGUGCCCAUCGCAUGGAUACCAUGCUGUACAACCAUUCAGAAAUUAUUAGGAGGAUCACAUGGUUUUCUAGCCAAACAUUUGCAAGUCUCUGUCACAUGUGAAAUUUUUAUAAAGACUGGUCUUGUUAUGAAACCCUUGGAGACGGGGUCUCUGUACAGAGAAAAUAAGACUGAAGGAUGACCUUCGCAUCCCCGUGGAGACUUCUUGGUUCCAGGCCAGAUCUGCAUGCGGACCUGAGCACGCUGGCUGCCCCAUAGCUCCCGCAGUCCUACAGGGGCUUCUGUCCCUAGGCUGUUUACCAGCAGCACCACAUCCCUCAUCCUGUCCACGCAGUUCUAUGGAAACUUUACGGUAUGUGUAAGUAUUUUAUUUAUU